GCGCACGCUGGCGGCAGGCCUCACCCAUGCAAGUCGAACGAACUCUUCGGAGUUAGUGGCGGACGGGUGAGUAACACGUGGGAACGUGCCUUUUGGUUCGGAAUAACUCAGGGAAACUUGUGCUAAUACCGAAUGUGCCCUUCGGGGGAAAGAUUUAUCGCCAUUAGAGCGGCCCGCGUCUGAUUAGCUAGUUGGUGAGGUAACGGCUCACCAAGGCGACGAUCAGUAGCUGGUCUGAGAGGAUGACCAGCCACACUGGGACUGAGACACGGCCCAGACUCCUACGGGAGGCAGCAGUGGGGAAUCUUGCGCAAUGGGCGAAAGCCUGACGCAGCCAUGCCGCGUGAAUGAUGAAGGUCUUAGGAUUGUAAAAUUCUUUCACCGGGGACGAUAAUGACGGUACCCGGAGAAGAAGCCCCGGCUAACUUCGUG
rnacentral:rRNA from 1 species